UACGUAGGGGGCGAGCGUUGUCCGGAAUUACUGGGCGUAAAGGGUGCGCAGGCGGUUUUUUAAGUCAGGUGUGAAAUACCCGGGCUCAACCCGGGGGGUGCAUUUGAAACUGGAAGACUUGAGUGCAGGAGAGGGGAGCGGAAUUCCUAGUGUAGCGGUGAAAUGCGUAGAUAUUAGGAGGAACACCAGUGGCGAAGGCGGCUCUCUGGACUGCAACUGACGCUGAGGCACGAAAGCGUGGGGAGCAAACAGG
rnacentral:rRNA from 1 species